UCAAGCAUUUUUUUUCACAUCAAUUAUUUUUGUCUUUUAUGUCACAAUUAUUUCUCUAUAUAAUCAUCACUUCCAUGCCCUUUGCCAAGUCCUCCUUCUAACAACAAAAAAUGAUCAAGUGAAAUCAUAAAUUAGGCUUUUUCCAGCACUUUAGAAGCAAUACCUAGGUGGCAGAUUGGAUGGUAUGUUGGAUUUAGUCUUCAGAAGGCUUGAGUUUGAAUUCUGCUUCCUACACUUGCACACUCAACAGAUUGCCUUCCCUUCCUUCAGCCACAGUUUCCCCCCAUCUGUAAAAUAAGAAUAAUGAUAGGACUUGACUUGUACGGUUGUCCUGAGGAUCUAAGAAGAGAGCUUAUGUAAAACACUUUGCAUAUAUGAAAGCGGUCUAUCAAUAUGAGAUGACAUCUCUAUGGUCAUUUCCCCCUAAUAAAAAUGUCAGCCAUCCCAUACCCUCUGGCUGCUAUAGUCAGAAAAAUGAUGCACUCCCCAGGAUCAGUGUGCUGAAAUUAAGGAUACAUGCCCUGCAAGGUGCCUGCCCCACCUUUCAAGAACAAGGAUCAUCUUCCCAACCCAACAGUAUACAGGCAGUGAGACAUUAGUGGGGUGGGUCUGAGAAUGCUUAACACAACCUUUCUCAAAACAUAUCAGAUUGAGGUGUUUUUCUUUUUCCUUUUAACAGAUGUUUAUUUUUUAAACUGUUCCUUGGGGCAAAAGGUAAUCUCACAAAGGUUGCAUUCUCUCCAUCAGCCAUCUAGCCAUUCUUGCCUUGUGGGGCACGUUGCAUUUAAGCAAAAUGAAACCAUCAUUCUCUUUUAUGCUCUCGACAUAAAUUGUGGCUUACUUGCAGGCAAGUAGCUCUUUACAACAGUUUGGGGACAGGAGGAAGGAAAUGUGUUGGGCAUAUUUUAUGGAUUGGGGCAGUUCAUGAUAAGUACCUUGAUUAGAUUAUCGCUUCAUGUACAUCUUAGAAAAUGCAUAAAUGACUGUAAGGCAUUGUCUGUGGUGCACUAUAUAUUGCUUCACAUGCAUAUAAUUGCAUUAUAUUUAUGUGUCUGAUUAUAUACAUAAGUAUGUUUAUGUGUGUCCAUUCUAUAUAAUGUGUUUGUGUGUGUUGAGGGGGCGAUAUAGCUAAUUCCACAGACAUCCUCCCCUGAUGCUUCAUCACUGAGGGACAGUGACCUUGAAUUUUCAAAAGGUAUGUCAACAAAAUACAACUCUGGCAAAUCUUACUAAAGUGUGUGUGUGUGUGUGUGUGUGUGUGUGUGUGUACUCUGUGUGUAUCCUGAAAACAAAGGCUCAUCACCAAAAGAUUGACCAUGGAUGCUUUUAUCUUUAACCACAGAAACUAAUGAAGGCACAGGACUCUGAUUCACUUUUGAUGGAGAAAAGAUCCAUAUGGAUGAAAUCAUGGUUCUUUUAAUGGAUUGAUAGAAGUGAAUCACUAGCUGCUGAGAAAUAGAAAAGGUUAAGCCUGAUUAGGACAUCCCUUGUUAUUUUGCUAUCACUCCCUUUCAGCCUGCUCCACCAGCAUUAGAGAGUGCACCAAUGGAAGUCCAGCCUUUGAGAUCCACUAUCAGAGACCCGCUACUCUCUUUGCAUCAUGUUUACUACAAGAAGGAUUAUUCAUGAAGAGACAAGACAAGGAGGUGCCAAAGAACAGAAAAUGUGACUGGCCUAAAGGCAAGAAAAGGAAACCGUCCAAAGGAUAUUUCUAUCUCUUGAUCACCUUCAACAGGGUAAGAUCAAAAUGAUCAGGGGGUUUCCAUUCAUUUCAAUUUAUUAAGCACCCACUAUUUUCAAAUCUAAAUUCUGUGUUGUUGCUGUUCACCUUCAUUCUCCAAGAGAACCAUGACUUCAGGAAGCUAUGACUUGCAAGUGAAUUGGGUUUAAGUGUGAAGGGCUGUGCACCCUCUCCUUCAAUUCCUUUUUUAGGGUUUUUGAUAAAAGCCUUUAUAAGUGUUUUCCAUGAGUUUUUCAAGUUCUGGUGAUAACCUAGGAGGAGGUUUAAGAAAGUUCUGUGAGUGGAUCUAGCAGCAAACAAGAAGGAGUCCCUACUCUUACAAAGCUUACACUCUAGUAGGGAAGAUAAGAUAUAUAGAUUAAAAACCACUUUCAAACUACUUUGCAGUUUGUGCAAAAAAAAAAAAAAAAAGCACAGAGACACAUUAGAAUUUG